CACUUUUUGCUCAUUCGUUCAGUCUCUACUAAGAGCCUGCCAAUUUGCCAGAUCCAAACAGGGUCAGUGUUUCUCUGGACAUUUGCCUGAAGUGUCCUUCUCACCUCCAUUGUCACUUCAAUCAGCAAACAUCCACCCUUUCCAAGAAAGCUCUACUCUCAGACAUCCUAACCGAUAUCUUCCCCUGGUAUCAUCCACCAUCCAGGCACCGCCAUCCAUUUGCCAUAAACACCUUGGAAUAUGGAGCUAUAAAGGAGGAAGACCAUUCUGCAAGGAGACCAAGGAAAAAGGAGGACACAUGCUUUGAUUGGACACUUCCUGCUCCCCUUCCCCUUGCAACCACCACCGAGGAAAGACAGAUGGGCCCUGGGAGCUGACAUCUAGGCAAUAUCUGGGUCUCCGCCUGGACAGAGCCUCCACCUCCCUGGACACCAUGCCCCAGGACCCUCUUGGGAGGGUCCCCAAGGAAACAAGGGCAUAUCUGCUGGAAAUUACCUAUCACCACCCCAUGCUGUGUAGUUUUUUG